rnacentral:rRNA from 1 species
GAAACCAAGUCUGAAUAGGGCGAGUUUAGUCACUUUCAAUAGACCCGAAACCGGGUGACCUACCCAUGGGCAGGAUGAAGUUACCGUAAAAGGUAAUGGAGGUCCGAACUCACAUCUGUUGAAAAAGGUGGAGAUGACCUGUGGGUAGCGGAGAAAUUCCAAUCGAACCCGGAGAUAGCUGGUUCUCCUCGAAAUAGCUUUAGGGCUAGCGUUGUUUAGAGUCUAAUGGAGGUAAAGCACUGAAUUGCCUAGGGGGCCCACAAGCUUACCGAAGCAUAUCAAACUAAGAAUGCCAUAAAGAUACUAACAGCAGUCAGACUACGAGUGAUAAGACACGUGGUCAAAAGGGAAAGAGCCCAGACCAUCAGCUAAGGUCCCCAAGUGUGUGUUAAGUGGAAAAGGAUGUGAGAUUUCGAAGACAACUAGGAUGUUGGCUUAGAAGCAGCCAUCCAUUCAAAGAGUGCGUAAUAGCUCACUAGUCGAGAGAUCUUGCGCCGAAAAUGUCCGGGGCUAAAACACACCACCGAAGCUACGGAAUUACCUAUGGUAAUUGGUAGAGGAGCAUUCUGUAAGGACGAAGCACAAUUGAAAGAGAGUGUGGACGAAACAGAAGAGAGAAUGCCGGAAUGAGUAGCGAGAUAUAUGUGAGAAUCAUAUAGGUCGAAUGUCUAAGGUUUCCUGGGUAAAGCUGAUCUGCUCAGGGUAAGUCGGGACCUAAGGUGAGGGCGAGAGCCGUAAUCGAUGGACAACAGGUAGAAAUUCCUGUACUACGUAUAAUCAGAACUGUGGGGACGCAGGAGGAUAGGAAAACCGGAGAAUGGAAAAAUCCGGCUAAGUACAAAGGUGUGAGUGAUAGGCAAAUCCGUCACUAUAAGCUGAAGUACGAAUGGGAGCGAAGAAAAGUAGCGAAGUUUCUGAAUCCACACUGUCAAGAAAAGCCGCUAUUGCGUUAUACGUACCCGUACCGCAAACCGACACAGGUAGACGAGGAGAAAAUCCACAGACCGACGGGAGAAGUGUUGUUAAGGAACUCGGCAAAAUGACCCCGUAACUUAGGGAUAAGGGGAGCCAACGCAAGUUGGUCACAGAAAAGAGGCUCAAGCGACUGUUUAGCAAAAACAUAGGUCUAUGCGAAACCGUAAGGUGAUGUAUAUGGGCUGACACCUGCCCGGUGCUGGAAGGUCAAAAGGAGAGGUUAGCGUAAGCGAAGCUUUGAAUUCAAGCCCCAGUAAACGGCGGCCGUAACUAUAACGGUCCUAAGGUAGCGAAAUUCCUUGUC